rnacentral:rRNA from 1 species
CCUACGGGUGGCAGCAGUAGGGAAUAUUGCUCAAUGGGGGAAACCCUGAAGCAGCAACGCCGCGUGGAGGAUGAAGGUUUUCGGAUUGUAAACUCCUUUUGUUAGAGACGAUAAUGACGGUAUCUAACGAAUAAGCACCGGCUAACUCCGUGCCAGCCGCCGCGGUAAUACGGAGGGUGCAAGCGUUACUCGGAAUCACUGGGCGUAAAGAGCGCGGAGGCGGGAUAGCAGGUCAGAUGUGAAAUCCUAGGGCUUAACCAUAGAACUGCAUUUGAAACUGUUAUUCUAGAGUAUGGGAGAGGGAUGUGGAAUGCUUGGUGUAGGGGUAAAAUCCGUAGAGAUCAAGAGGAAUACGCAGUGCGAAGGCGACCUGCUAGAACAUAACUGACGCUGAUGCGCGAAAGCGUGGGGAGCAAACAGGAUUAGAUACCCCAGUAGUC